AUAUUCUGGAGCAGCUCAUGGGCCUAGCAUUUCACGGACCAUAUUUUGGGCAGUGCUGCUACAGCAGAAAGGAAAUGGGUGACCUCUUCCUUGCUGGUAAUAGUAAGGUUGUCUGAGAGAAGAAAGGUUUGAAGGGGGGCCCAAACACCAAACUGCUUUUGAGUCAUUCCUGGGGAAGGUCAAGGUCUAUAGUGUGCCUUGUUUCACUUUAGAGUCAACAUCUCGCUAUUUGGGGGGAACGGACUUUAGAACAGAAAAAAAUAGCUGCUUGGGAGAAAGAGUUUCACUGCUAUGAGAUGUCAAGUCCCUAAAGUUAAAUGUUACUGAUGGAAGAAUACAGCUGAAGAAGAGCUCUUGGCUUGACUGAGUAGCUGAUCUCUUUACAAGAAGGGAUACAAGCCCUGCAGUGGAACUCACUGCUGAUCCUUCAGACUUGUCUUUCUAGGUUUAUCCUGCAGACCUUAUCACUGCAUAGCAGUAGUUCACGCUAACAUACAACUGCACAUGUCUGCUCUCAGAAAGCCUUUCACCUGGCCAAAGACAAGGCAACCAUGCUCCCCAAAGACGCUCGCCCACCUUUACUACAAAAUUGAACGUCCACACCCCUCCAGGUUACAUGGAUAGAAACAACUUUGUUUGCUGUAUCUUCACAAUAAUAGAGUUGUCUGCGAUCUCUUUACAUUGUCAAUAAGAAGAUGCCCUGCACCAGCUGUUCAAGCUAAGGGCUUGUCAUGUGCAAAUCACAUAUACCAACUGCAUUGUUACAGAACAGGAGCUGAAACAUCUUGUUGGUGUUGGUGUGCUUUGUGUGUGUAUAGUAGCAUUUGAAUAAACUUAAACUACAGGGUGA
rnacentral:lncRNA from 1 species